rnacentral:rRNA from 1 species
UACGGAGGAUCCGAGCGUUAUCCGGAAUUACUGGGCGUAAAGAGUUGCGUAGGUGGCAGUAUAAGUCUGUAGUGAAAGCGUGUGGCUCAACCACAUAAACAUUAUGGAAACUGUACAGCUAGAGGAUGAGAGAGGUUAUUGGAAUUCCCAGUGUAGGAGUGAAAUCCGUAGAUAUUGGGAGGAACACCGAUGGCGUAGGCAGAUAACUGGCUCAUUCCUGACACUAAGGCACGAAAGCGUGGGGAGCAAACGGG